rnacentral:rRNA from 1 species
UAGGGAAUCUUCGGCAAUGGACGAAAGUCUGACCGAGCAACGCCGCGUGAGUGAAGAAGGUUUUCGGAUCGUAAAACUCUGUUGUUAGAGAAGAACAAGGACGUUAGUAACUGAACGUCCCCUGACGGUAUCUAACCAGAAAGCCACGGCUAACUACGUGCCAGCAGCCGCGGUAAUACGUAGGUGGCAAGCGUUGUCCGGAUUUAUUGGGCGUAAAGCGAGCGCAGGCGGUUUCUUAAGUCUGAUGUGAAAGCCCCCGGCUCAACCGGGGAGGGUCAUUGGAAACUGGGAGACUUGAGUGCAGAAGAGGAGAGUGGAAUUCCAUGUGUAGCGGUGAAAUGCGUAGAUAUAUGGAGGAACACCAGUGGCGAAGGCGGCUAUCUGGUCUGUAACUGACACUGAGGCUCGAAAGCGUGGGGAGCAAACAGG